rnacentral:sRNA from 1 species
GCUGGGUUUGGUGGCACAUGUCUGUAAUCCCAGAGGCUCAGGAGGCUGAGACAGGAGGAUCACAAGUUCAAAGCCAACCUCAUCAAUGGUGAGGCGUUAAGCAACUCAGUGAGGCCCUGUCUCUA